rnacentral:rRNA from 1 species
UACGGAGGGGGCAAGCGUUGUUCGGAAUUACUGGGCGUAAAGGGUCUGUAGGUGGCCAACUAAGUCAGACGUGAAAUCCCUCAGCUUAACUGGGGAACUGCGUCUGAGACUGGAUGGCUCGAGUGCAGGAGAGGAAUGCGGAAUUCCAGGUGUAGCGGUGAAAUGCGUAGAUAUCUGGAGGAACACCGGUGGCGAAGGCGGCAUUCUGGACUGCAACUGACACUGAAAGACGAAAGCCAGGGGAGCAAACGGG